AUCAAAGUAGUUUAAAUUAAACCUUAAUUUGUGGCAUUAAAAUUAUCAGUUAAAACCUGAUCUAUGAUC
rnacentral:tRNA from 1 species